rnacentral:rRNA from 1 species
AUUGAACGCUCGCGGCCGGCCUAACACAUGCCAGUCGAACGAGGGGCGGACGGGUGUGUAAUGUCUGGUAAACUGCCCGAUGGAUGGGGAUAACUACUGGACACGGUCGCUAAUCCCGCAUACCAUUGUAUGUGCCCAGAUGGGAUUAGCUAGGAGGUGGGGUAAUCGCUCACCUAGGCGUCGAUCCCUAGCUGGUCUGAGAGGAUGACCAGCCACACUGGAACUGAGACACGGUCCAGACUCCUACGGGAGGCAGAAGUGGGGAAUAUUGCACAAUGGGUGCAAGCCUGAUGCAGCCAUGCCGCGUGUAUGAAGAAGGCCUUCGGGUUGUAAAGGACUUUCAGCGGGGAGGCGUUACCCGCAGAAGAAGCACCGGCUAACUCCGUGCCAGCAGCCGCGGUAAUUC